GCACUAUCGAAGAAAUUUAAAACGAGACUCUCUUCACAAGGCAGUUGAUAUUUUACAAACAGACUAUGAACCUUCAGAUGUGGAUAUCUUAUAUGCUGAGGGUGUUACCUCUUCCAAUGGACUUUCAUGUGUGGAUUUCUCAUUCCCAGAUUCAGAAGAUUAUGAUAAUCUUGACAGCAGUGAUCAUCCAAAUUCUGUGCUCAGAUAUCAGCUGAUAAGGGUAUAGGCAAGGGGGUUCAUUGAAAAUUGUAAGUGGCUUGAGAUGUUUGAAUAUGUUCGGGUGGUCAUUUUCUGUGUUUCAUUAAGCGACUAUACCCAAUAUGUUGUUGAAGAAACUGGGGAGACAGUUAACAAGAUGUUACUGAGCAAGAAACUGUUCGAGAGCAUCGUGACUCAUCCAACUCUAGGUGAUAAACCUUGCAUAACUAUUUUUCUAUAAAUGUCGUCAUAGAGUGGUAAGUACUUUUUAAUUCUGAAUUAGAGGUUUCGGUUUCGAGACGUAUGAAAUCGUCUUUGUUAGGAAGCGCUUUGAUUAUUUUAAAAAUUGUUCAUUCAAAAAAAAAUAUUUAAAGAAUUAUUUUACCGAAAAACCAUAUAAGGGGGUUGCCUUUUUCAUUCAAAACGUGAUGAGAGUAUUGUUUCCCAACACUUAAAAAUUGAGGGGGUAAAGUGUAUUUUAUUCCAUUUUUGUGGGAUGGGUUGAAGACUAUGACUUUUAAGUUACAAUUACAAAGUUGAGUGACUUUUAAGUGACAAAAAAUAGCUGAAUGACUUUACUGAAAUGAAAUGAUAGUUCAGUGACCAUGGGUGAAAUUACCCCCGGAAUAAGGCCGUCACUAAACACUGUUUUUUUUGUAGUGAAUUAUUUUAACCCGCCCCGCCUCGCCUCGCCUCGCCCCGCCCAAUUGCCAUGCCUACUUAUAUAACAAAACAUGUAGCUGUAGGAAAUGGGAACAUUCGGAAAUUCCUUGUAAGUAUGCUAUAAAGGAUGAGGUUCUAGACUAUGUUGAUGAUUGCUACAAGAUCGAGUCGUAUAGAACAAUUUACAAAGCCUCCAUAUAUAUAUAUAUAUAUGUUGCCUAUGAAUGGCCCUGAUUUAUGGUUUAAGUCACCAAAUUCUCCACCUUUGCCACCUUCUUACUUGAAGAAGAAGAAGAAAGGAAGGAAAAGGAAAUUAAGAAGGAAAUUAGAAGAUGACGAGCAAGGAGCCAGUAGCUAGGACGAAGUUAAAAAAGAGACCAAAAUCAGUUGUGUGUAUUCAGAUAUAUGGUUUUUAAGGACUGCAUUCUUCCAUUUCAGUCUGUUUGUUGCUUCAAAUGAUUUUACUCAAAUAUUGUGAGGUAUUUGGGAAAGAUCAAUAUUGUGAAGUAUUGUUCAGUUGAAGAGCAAGCUCUGUGGUGGUGAUUCCCAUGGAAAUGGAUUUGUCCUAAAUAUUUUGUUCUUUAAGUUAGUUUACACAAAAUAGAGAUCCUGCUUGAUAGUGUUCAGCAGACUUGCAACCUUUUGGUUUGCGAAAAAUAAAAUAUUGCAAAAGAAUCAUUGC